ensembl:misc_RNA Metazoa_SRP Metazoan signal recognition particle RNA
GCUGGGCUCUGUGGCACGUGCCUGUAGUCCCAGCUACUAAGGAGGCUGAAGCAGGAGGAUCACUUGAGUCCAGGAGUAGUUCUGGGCUAUAGAGUGCUAUGCUGAUCAGGUGUCUGCACUAAGUUUGGCAUCAGUAUGGUGACUUCCAGGGAGCGGAGGACCACAACGUUGGCUAAGGAGGGAUGAAUCCGCUCAGGUCAGAAAUGGAGCAGGUCAAAACUCCCGUGAUAAUCAUUAGUAAGAUUGCACCUGUGCGUAGCCACUGCACUCCAGCCUGGGCAACAUAGUGAGAUGCCAUCUCUU